AGUGAACGCUGGCGGUAGGCCUAACACAUGCAAGUCGAACGGCAGCACAGUAAGAGCUUGCUCUUACGGGUGGCGAGUGGCGGACGGGUGAGGAAUACAUCGGAAUCUACUUUUUCGUGGGGGAUAACGUAGGGAAACUUACGCUAAUACCGCAUACGACCUACGGGUGAAAGCAGGGGAUCUUCGGACCUUGCGCGAUUGAAUGAGCCGAUGUCGGAUUAGCUAGUUGGCGGGGUAAAGGCCCACCAAGGCGACGAUCCGUAGCUGGUCUGAGAGGAUGAUCAGCCACACUGGAACUGAGACACGGUCCAGACUCCUACGGGAGGCAGCAGUGGGGAAUAUGGGACAAUGGGCGCAAGCCUGAUCCAGCCAUACCGCGUGGGUGAAGAAGGCCUUCGGGUUUUAAAGCCCUUUUGUUGGGAAAGAAAAGCAGCAGGUUAAUACCCCGCUGUUCUGACGGUACCCAAAGAAUAAGCACCGGCUAACUUCGUG
rnacentral:rRNA from 1 species